AUGAAACUGUCCAUUGGAGCCGGAUUCAUGAUCUUGUGGCUGCAGAUGGGCUGUGUCAGUAGAGGAGAGAAGGUGGAGCAGAGUCCUUCUACCCUGAGUGUCCAGCAGGGAAGCAAGGCUGUUAUCAACUGUACCUAUUCAGACAGUGCCUCGUCGUACUUCCCCUGGUAUAAGAAAGAACCCGGGAAAAGUCUCCAGCUGAUAAUAUACAUUCGUUCAACAAAGGAACGAGAACAAAACGAACGAUACACGGUUUUACUGAAGAAGAAUGAGAAAUAUCUUUCUCUGCACAUUGAUGAAAGCCAGCCCGGAGACUCAGCUGUCUACUUCUGUGUAGCAAGUGCACAUUGCUACCCAGGCACCUGCAGCCUGUGCUGA